rnacentral:rRNA from 1 species
GGCGGACGGGUGAGUAAUGCUGGGAAACUGCCCGAUGGAGGGGGAUAACUACUGGAAACGGUAGCUAAUACCGCAUAACGUCGCAAGACCAAAGAGGGGGACCUUCGGGCCUCUUGCCAUCGGAUGUGCCCAGAUGGGAUUAGCUAGUAGGUGGGGUAACGGCUCACCUAGGCGACGAUCCCUAGCUGGUCUGAGAGGAUGACCAGCCACACUGGAACUGAGACACGGUCCAG